CUGGAUCACCUCCUUU
rnacentral:rRNA from 1 species